AAGCGUCGUAAGUUGAAUUUCGGGAUUAGUACGUCGGUCGUGCCUUAGGUACGUACUGGUAUUACUGGUUCCUACCUUCUGACGAACCAUCAUGUCAUUAAUUUGGUGUGGUGGGGAAUCAGGACUGUUACUUUGAAAAAAUUAGAGUGUUUAAAGCAGGCUCGCGCUUGAAUACAUUAGCAUGGAAUAAUGAAAUAGGACGUUGAUCCUAUUUUGUGGUUUCUAGGAUUGACGUAAUGAUUAAUAGGGAUAGUUGGG
rnacentral:rRNA from 1 species